rnacentral:rRNA from 1 species
UACGGAGGGUGCAAGCGUUAAUCGGAAUUACUGGGCGUAAAGCGCACGCAGGCGGUUUGUUAAGUCAGAUGUGAAAUCCCCGAGCUUAACUUGGGAACUGCAUUUGAAACUGGCAAGCUAGAGUCUUGUAGAGGGGGGUAGAAUUCCAGGUGUAGCGGUGAAAUGCGUAGAGAUCUGGAGGAAUACCGGUGGCGAAGGCGGCCCCCUGGACAAAGGCUGACGCUCAGGUGCGAAAGCGUGGGGAGCAAACAGG